AACCAUUCUCACCUGCGGCUAGACCUGCGGAGGGAUCAUUUUUGGAUUCUAUCAAUUGUGCCGAUAGCAUUUAAUGCUGUCGACCAGCAAACAACAACUACUCUAUAAACAUCGCAUUGUGUCUGAUAUUGAAUUAAUACUAAACAACUUUCAACAACGGAUCU
rnacentral:misc_RNA from 1 species